GACAGAAAAGCGGUCUCUUCCCACCGCCUGGUGAGCCCCAGGACUUUUGGGAAGGAGAAGAGCAAACAGGAGGCGUGGCGAAGGAAGUGGAGCGGGGCUUCGGAGAUGACUGGCUUCAAAAUUGCUUCAGAAUUUUGGCGCCAAAUAAUUGGUAUUCAUACUUAGGCCAAUUGGUGCUGCUUCUUGGCUGGUCCUCCUGUAUGUGAUUUCUAGACAUCGGCUUGCCCCAGGAUGCUGUACUGGCCCUUCCCUCUCUCUGUAUCCACACACUUCUCCAGAUGUGGUCACCGCAGCUGAAUUGCAGCAGUUUCUUCUGGGUUCUUCCAAGAGGACGAAAGUUGUACAUCAGGAACAUAAAAUGCGCUAUACUGAUGAGAGAAGACAGAAGCUGAUAAUGUUGCAAUCCUCUGAAUUUUUUUUUACUGAUUCAUGGAGGAAUUUGGAUUGAUAUUGCUGGAUGUGACAGCUUCCAUGAACAUCCACGACAUCUCUUGCAGGACCUGGUAAAAUCUUCUCAUGCUUUCACAGGCAGAUCUAUUAUAUUGUACAUGGGAAAGAACCCACUCGAGCAUGCAAUUAUGACUAGCUCAAUCACAGAAUUCCCUAGGACAGUAACCAAAGGAAUAAAAGCAGAGGUUAAAAAUGACAUUAAAAGCAGCAAAUAUAAUGCAAUGCUCCCCAUAAGCAUGUGGUAGAUACUCAUUAACAGAUUAAGAGACAAAGAAGAUACCAAAAUGUGACUCGGGUAUCCACCCUCAGAAAAUACAGUCAUUGACAAGCUGCAGAUACUCAGGAUGGGAGGCUUCACCAUCCCCUGCCACAGGUGAUGGUGAGAACUUGAAUGAGGCAAGUGUCACUUAAAAGGGAA